rnacentral:rRNA from 1 species
UACGUAGGGUGCAAGCGUUGUCCGGAAUUAUUGGGCGUAAAGAGCUCGUAGGCGGUUUGUCGCGUCUGCUGUGAAAACUCGGGGCUUAACCCCGGGCCUGCAGUGGGUACGGGCAGACUAGAGUGCGGUAGGGGAGACUGGAAUUCCUGGUGUAGCGGUGAAAUGCGCAGAUAUCAGGAGGAACACCGGUGGCGAAGGCGGAUCUCUGGGCCUUACCUGACGCUCAGGUGCGAAAGCUAGGGGAGCGAACAGG